UGGCAAGCGUAGCUGCGUGGGUACUUCGAAAUUGAAAAUCGCAUAUAUCUUGGGUGUGUCCCGGGAUUACCCCACUGGUGCUGUCUUGCCUUUUC
rnacentral:vault_RNA from 1 species